rnacentral:lncRNA from 1 species
CUUCCGGGUCGAGCAGCGUAUGGAGGUCAGCCAGUGGCGAGAGCCUGGGGCCUUCUUAGGUCUUGUGUGAGCAUCCACACAGCCCUGAGCACACUCCCAGCCCUGCCCAGGCACAUGUACGUGGCCUUCUAGAUCCCCAGGAAGGGUGGCUGCCGUGGGAAGGGGAGGAGUCAUCAGCUUCUGCCUCCUCCCUCUUCUGAGGGUCAGGCUUCCCGGAUUUACUUAUUUCCCUGGAGGUGGGGAGAGAGAAGGAACGUCGUCAAGAGUGACUCCAAGUCCUGGGACCUCAGUAACUGGCAGGAUGGAGUUUCCCUUGCUGAGAGGAGGACGAGUGGGGGGCCGAGGUUUGGGGAGUCAGAGCAGGUGCCGGGUCUGGCAGUGUCUGUUGAGUUACCUGUUCCGUGUUCUUCUGGAGCUUUCCAGCGGAGAGUCUUAGGAGCAGGUCUGGUGUUCAGGGAGGGCACGGAGCCUGGGUGGGCACCGUGGACAAGAGGACCAAGAAAUGGCCAUUCAUAGAGCCUAGUGGUGAAAGGGGUAGGGGAGAAAAAUCUCAGGCGCAAAUACUCAAAAAGCAUAUAGCCCUUUGUAUCUCCCCAGCUUCAUCUCACACCUUGUCCACCUCUACAGAGGCACCCCUCCCUCUGCAGGAGUCACAUUGAUGACCUUGAAUUAUAAAAAGAAAUAAAGUGAUAGAGCAAGAAGCAUGGGACACUGUCUAGUGCCCUUCUAAGCCGGCUCUGUGCCCUGUACUGACUCAUAGGCCAGCUCACCAAACGGGUACCUGCCGAGAGGGCAGGGAAGCCUGGCAUUAAUUCUGAAAAGACUUCUACACAAAUAUGUUCAACUUGACAUAAAUCAGCAUUUGAAAUUUGAACAGAGGGAAAGCCUCUUUUUGGUGAAAUGCAUUCAGGUGGACUCGCUCUUUGCCCAGGGAUGUUGGGACAGAUGAGACUUCACUGUGAAAGGCAAGUUGGGAAGAGUCGGGAAGCAGCGGAAGGCACUGGGACAGAUCCUCCUCCAAGGUCAGUGGCAUCCAUCACUCAGAGCCCUCCCCAGGCGGAAAAUGGACGUGCUUUGCUAGAGAGAGUUCAUAUUCCCCACUUGCAUUAAUCUCCUUUUCUAGGGAGCUUGCCAGGCGCCUAGGAAGACACACUUCACGUCGGAUGUAAAUGAGCGCUCUCUGUUCAUGGUCUUCCCAGGGACUGGCCCGCUGCUUCUCCAUACGGGCACCAUCUCGAACCAUCUUUUCAUUCGGUUGCCACAUACGGUUGGCUCAACCCAACUAAUCUUUUCUCUGUCGCGUCUCGUUGCUGCAAUCUGUGGUUCCAGCUUUUAGAGACUUAAUAAACGGAUGUGUUUUCCAGCCCCGAGGAAUGAAAUGAAGAUUGUCACUUGGCGGUGUUCUCCGCCAUCAUGUUUUUGUUGCCGUCGUAGAAAUGGAGCAGAAAAUUACGGCAGCUCCUUUAUUGCCCAACUGCCCGCGCCAUUUCCAGUCCUUGGGAAGGAAAUCAAUUGUUUCUGCAAAUUUCCUGCAGACAUUUGGUUAUUAUCUGUUGAAAUCCUCUGACCAAGCCUUAGUUCUGGGACAGAGAAAGAAACCACUUUUCUCGUCUCUGUGAAAAAUCAACUGCUACGGAAUCCUUUCAUUGUGUCUCUGCUGCUCACUCUGUCACAGGACAUUAAUGAAAGAGAGAUGCUUCUUUGUCAUGCAGCUUGACACUUUGUUCGAAACUUAUUUCUCGACUAUUCCUAAGCUUAACUCUGGACCAAACGCAGUGCUUACAACACUCAGAUAAGGAAACGUUUAAUCCCACUUUCUCGAUGAGACAACUGAGGCCAAAGAACUUAGAUAUGUCGCUUAAAGCCGGUGAGUUUUCUUCACAACAGUGUCCACUGCCCCUCCUGAGGUCCGUAUCACCUCCCAGGAAGAAUUUAUUUUUCACACUUUGGCAUUUUGUGUAGGAAUCACAAUGUGAGUAAAAAUAUCUCACAGUUUCUGCAGGGUAAGAAUCCAGUGUUGUCUCUGUAGUGGCUCCCGUCGCUGAUGAAGUGUGGGUUCGACCCCUGGCCUGGGAACGUCUGUACGCCGAGGGUUCGGCCCUGAAAAGACCAAAAGAGAAAAAGUUUGGAAGUCACUUGGCAGACAUGGGGAGCAUGUUGGCAGUCAUCUGCCAAGGGUAUAGACUGAAUAAUUAGGGAUGGAUUUUGAUACUGCUCAUAGCUGUCAACUUACUUAGCUGGGCAAGUCACUGACCAGCGAUGGCUUCAGUCCUGGGAGGCGCUGGCACAGGGGUGUCCCCAGCCACGUGUGGAGAAGAGGCACAGGCGGAAGACUGGGCAGGUGCUAGUCUGGGGCUGGUGGGAGAGUUAUUUCCUGAUCCAGCUUCUGCUGCUUCCAAAGGACUCAGAAUGCGGCAGCCUGGGAGGAAUGAGGCUGGGAGCUGGGGGAGCUGGGGCACCAAAGAGGGGCGGGUUCCCUGCGGACUGGAGAGGCUUCCAAUCUCCCGCCAGCACCUGGGGGCCUCAAACCGCAGAAACUCAAAUUCCCACAGUUCUGAAGGCUGAAGUCCAAGGGCAAGGUGUGGCAGGGCUGCUUUCCUCUGCGGCGUCUCGCCCCCUGUCCUCACAGGUCCCCUCCUCUGCCUGUUAGUGAUAAAUUUCCUCUUCUGAUCAGGACACUGGUCAUAGUGGAUCGGGGCCCACCCUAAUGACCUCAUGUUAACUUACCACUUGAAAUACCCCAUAUCCAAACGCAGUCACAUGCCGAGGAGCUGGGGUUAGAUUUCAACCUGUGAACUUGGGGGGCAUGCAGUUCCGCCCGUAACACCAAUUUUCAAUGGUUUUUCAGAUUCCUUUUUAAUGUGCCCCACAAGAGGGGGAAAACCCCAUUUUGAGCGCAAACACCCAAUGAAUCUACUUAUUUAUAAAUCAUAUUCUCCUGGACUAAUAUAUUUUGCACACUGGAAAGCAUACCCGUACAUAGACAAUUUAACGGGCAGACAAGAUGGAAAUAGAUGUUCUGUUUUGGGUCCCCUGGGACGGAGACCCCCUGGUCCUCAAAGGGGGACCAUUGCCUUUGGGGGGACCGAGUCUGGAUCUCCAGAUUGACACACUUAUUCCUUAGCUUUGAACACCUUCUGUAAGAUCCCAGCCACGGCUCCCGUCACCCUCUCUCUCUCGAAGGAAACGUGCCCUCCCUCCGGACCCGUCUCGUGUCAGUGUGUAGUUACCUCAGCAAUGGAAUUGCCUCCAGUUCCAAGUCCCAAGGGCACGCAUCCAUCCCCCCGCAGGCUCACCACCCCUGUGUUCCAUUCGCCCCCCCCCCCCAACCGUUUUCUAUUUGAUUGAGUUUACAUUCUUCCCGGCUCCUCACCGAGGCUGUGAACGCCCAGGGGGACAGGUUCGUCUUCGACUCUGUUUUCCUCGUGCCCAGCGUGGUGCUGGGGAGCAGCAGGGGCUUCCCAGAUUGCUGACGUCCUGGCUUUUCUACUUCAUCACAAGGCAAAACAGAAAAUUAACAACUCACUAUCGCUUUAGAGGUUAAAAAUUCAAGCCUUGCAAUUAAGCCAAAGAUAGAUAUGACUAUCUAUCACAAUAAAAAAUGAAUAGCCCUCUGAAUUGCCCUUGUAGAGAGGCCUCUGGGAGUAAAAAGACAUACAGGUCAAUACGUUUGACCGCUGUUGGUGUUCCCAGUGUGCAGGGCUCAGGGCUGCAGGCAAGGUGGUAUCCAGCCGCAACCUCAGCUCAGAGCUGCUGCAGGUGAAUUGACCUGUAAUGUUGCCUGAACUGUCAGCAGAAAAGCAAAGACAAGAUGUGAAAGUUAUCCUAAGGGGGAGGUCCAAGGACCAUGGCGAAGAGGCUGCCACAGUCCUGCCCACGGAGGAGAGGAAAAGCCUUGUUAGCGAGUGUCUGUUACGUGCCAGACACUGCUUAGCUUUCCCUGCCUGAGCUCCUUCAAUCCUCCAACACCACCAAGUAGGAAACAUCCGUGCUUCGCAGAUGCUGUUACUUCGAGACGUGAGGUAGUCGUCCCAGUAUCACAGAGCUAGGAGGGGAGUGGAGGAGCCGGAUUUGAACCCGGGGCUGUCUGACGGGGGGAGACGGUGGCUUCAUCUAUCAUCCUGCUGGGACCGGUGGAUCCCAGGCGCUUCCCCAUCUUCCAGCAUCUUUCCUUGACUCUCUCACCUCUUCUAGGCAGUGCCUCUGCCCUAUUCCCCGGUGGCGCUCUCUUCUGAUCAAGGCGGGCUGGCUGGACAAAGGCGGUAAUUACUGACCGAGGACCAGCCCCCCUCUCUGGCGAUCGACGUCCAUUCAGACUCGGGUCUCGAGGGGACCGUGUCGGACCCAGGAUGGAGAGAGAACCAAGGGCGGGCAGGCCUGUAGGACCUUGCCAGAUCAUGUCAGGCUGGCAGCCGUCUCUCCUGGGCCGUAUGGAGGCAUGGUGGGUUUUGUGUGGCUUUUGUCUGGGUUUAGUCCCAACCUCAGUGGGAGACGAACGAUGGGCUAUUAGACACCCUUACCUUAGGCUAUGAUGGACAGAACACCAACACGCCUAAGAACAGACUCUAUCUGUUGCUUAAUUAGAAGGAGGAGGCGUGAGUUCUGCUUUAAAGAAGAGCCUCUCAGAGUUCCCCUUGUGGCUCAUGGAACCCGACUAGUAUCCAUGAGGACGCAGGUUCGAUCCCUGGCCUCGCUCAGUGGGUUAAGGAUCCGCUGUUGCUGCGAGUGGUAGUGUAGGUCGAAGAUGUGGCUUGGAUUCAGCAUUGCUGUGGUUGUGGUGUAGGCAGGCAGCUGCAGCCCCCAUUCAACCCCUAGCCUGGGAGCUUCCUACAUCACAGGUGUAGCCAUAAGAAAAAAAGAGAGCGAGAGAAGAGUCUUUCUCGUGGUGCUGGCCUUCCCUUCCUGGGUCACCUGGGAUUUGAGGUCGGUUGUGCUCUUGAGUAUGUUCUUAGUGAACUUAGUUCACUGGCCGGAGACUUUCCCUUGAGGUUUCUUUGCCAAUGGACCCGGCUUCUAGGGCCGAGUGGCUGGUGGGGCUUUGUGGGCUAAGGGAGAGCUCCCGGUAGGCCUCAUCAAAACUGCACACCUUGUCACCAGAGGGGGCUCUGGGCAUUUUGACACUGUCUGAAACCUGCCCUCUAGUCUUUCCAAGUCAAGGGGACAUCAUCUCUCCACUCUUUGGAGCCCCAUUCACCCUUGAAAAAACGGAUCAAAUUUUCAACUUGACAAUAAGUGCCAGGCAAAUGCCUUCAUGGGUGCAGAACCCCCGCCCCCGCAGGCUCAGUGAUGGACAGUGGGGGACACAGACUCUAAAACCGAAAAACAUCCCAAGAAAUAGCAACAACAACAACAAC